rnacentral:rRNA from 1 species
AACGAACGCUGGCGGCAUGCCUAACACAUGCAAGUCGAACGAGACCUUCGGUUCUAGUAGCGCACGGCUACGUACCGCGUGGUAACCUGCCCUUAGGUUCGGAAUCCCUCCCUGAAAGGGGUGCCAAUACCGCAUAAUGUCUUCCUACCAAAGACUUGUGGCCUUAGGCUGGGCUCGCGUUGGAUUAGGUAGUUGGUAGGGGAAAAGCCUACCAAGGCGACGAUCCAUAGCUGGUCUGAGAGGAUGAACAGCCAAAGUGGGACUGAGACACGGCCCAGACUCCUACGGGAGGAAGCAGUGGGGGAUAUUAGACAAUGGGCGAAGGCCUGAUAGAGCAAGGCCGGGUGAGUGAUGAAGGCGGUAGUGUUGUAAAGCUCUUUUGGCCGGGAUGAUAAUGACAGUACCGGGAGAAGAAGCUCCGGCUAACUCCGUG